rnacentral:rRNA from 1 species
AUUGAACGCUGGCGGCAUGCUUUACACAUGCAAGUCGAACGGCAGCGCGGGCUUCGGCCUGGCGGCGAGUGGCGAACGGGUGAGUAAUGCAUCGGAACGUGCCCAGUAGUGGGGGAUAGCCCGGCGAAAGCCGGAUUAAUACCGCAUACGACCUGAGGGUGAAAGCGGGGGACCGAAAGGCCUCGCGCUAUUGGAGCGGCCGAUGUCGGAUUAGCUAGUUGGUGGGGUAAAGGCUUACCAAGGCGACGAUCCGUAGCUGGUCUGAGAGGACGACCAGCCACACUGGGACUGAGACACGGCCCAGACUCCUACGGGAGGCAGCAGUGGGGAAUGUUGGACAAUGGGGGCAACCCUGAUCCAGCCAUGCCGCGUGCGGGAAGAAGGCCUUCGGGUUGUAAACCGCUUUUGUUCGGGAAGAAAUCCUCUGGGCUAAUACCCCGGGGGGAUGACGGUACCGGAAGAAUAAGCACCGGCUAACUACGUG